UGGGGAAUAUUGGGCAAUGGGCGAAAGCCUGACCCAGCAACGCCGCGUGAAGGAAGAAGGUUUUCGGAUUGUAAACUUCUGUCCUUGGGGAAGAAGGAAGUGACGGUACCCGAGGAGGAAGCCCCGGCUAACUACGUGCCAGCAGCCGCGGUAAUACGUAGGGGGCGAGCGUUGUCCGGAAUUACUGGGCGUAAAGGGUGCGUAGGCGGCGAUUCAAGUCCAAUGUGAAAAGCCAGGGCUUAACCUUGGAGGUGCAUUGGAAACUGAAUGGCUUGAGUGCAGGAGAGGAAAGUGGAAUUCCUAGUGUAGUGGUGAAAUGCGUAGAUAUUAGGAGGAACACCAGUGGCGAAGGCGGCUUUCUGGACUGUAACUGACGCUGAGGCACGAAAGCGUGGGGAGCAAACAGG
rnacentral:rRNA from 1 species